UUAAGCAAUCGCUUGAAUUGUAAAGGUUUCAACUUAAUAUAAAUUAUUUAAAAAUGAAAAUUUUCAACAUUUUCUUCGUGGUUUUUGCCUGCUUCAUGGCCCUGAGCUCCGUGAACGCUGCGCCUUGGAAUCCUUUAAAGGAAUUGGAAAGAGCUGGGCAAAGAGUUAGGGACGCCAUUAUCUCUGCUGGACCAGCUGUUGAAGUCGUGGGUCAAGCAUCGUCCAUAUUGAAAGGGAAGAAUUAAUAAUAAAAUAAAUGUAUAACGUAUUAUACAGCCUGUGAUUCUAUUCUAAAAACAAUAUAUGUACUACCAAUAAUUCUAAA